UAUAGCCUUUCGGGUGUGAUUAUGUGGAGCGUGAGGAGUUAAACGCCGUCGUGCCUGCAUAUUCGUGCACUUUGGGUGUACUUGCCCGUGUGGUUGGUUAACAUCAAUUUUGGUUAUCAUAAAAUGACUGGAGGAAUGUAGCUUCGACCUCGUAUUGAAGUGUUAUAGCCUUCGGUAGAUGUGAUGAUCGAGAUUGAGGAUUGCAACGGAUACCCUUCGGGGCUACCUGUCUGGUCUCUGAUCGUUGCUCUGGUGCCGAAAGCUUGCUUACGGUUAUCAAAGUCGAUGGUCAAUAGGUUAGAACGGGUUAAAUUCGUUAAGGAUGUUGACGUAAUGGCUUU
rnacentral:rRNA from 1 species